GGAGGCAGCAGUGAGGAAUAUUGGUCAAUGGGCGAGAGCCUGAACCAGCCAAGUCGCGUGAAGGAUGAAGGAUCUAUGGUUUGUAAACUUCUUUUAUAGGGGAAUAAAGUGUGGGACGUGUCCCAUUUUGUAUGUACCCUAUGAAUAAGCAUCGGCUAACUCCGUGCCAGCAGCCGCGGUAAUACGGAGGAUGCGAGCGUUAUCCGGAUUUAUUGGGUUUAAAGGGUGCGUAGGCGGUUUAUUAAGUUAGUGGUUAAAUAUUUGAGCUAAACUCAAUUGUGCCAUUAAUACUGGUAAACUGGAGUACAGACGAGGUAGGCGGAAUAAGUUAAGUAGCGGUGAAAUGCAUAGAUAUAACUUAGAACUCCGAUAGCGAAGGCAGCUUACCAGACUGUAACUGACGCUGAUGCACGAGAGCGUGGGUAGCGAACAGGAUUAGAUACCCUGGUAGUCCACGCCGUAAACGAUGCUCACUGGUUCUGUGCGAUAUAUUGUACGGGAUUAAGCGAAAGUAUUAAGUGAGCCACCUGGGGAGUACGUCGGCAACGAUGAAACUCAAAGGAAUUGACGGGGGCCCGCACAAGCGGAGGAACAUGUGGUUUAAUUCGAUGAUACGCGAGGAACCUUACCCGGGCUUGAAAGUUACUGACGAUUCUGGAAACAGGAUUUCCCUUUGGGGCAGGAAACUAGGUGCUGCAUGGUUGUCGUCAGCUCGUGCCGUGAGGUGUCGGGUUAAGUCCCAUAACGAGCGCAACCCUUACCGUUAGUUGCUAGCAUGUAAUGAUGAGCACUCUAACGGGACUGCCACCGUAAGGUGAGAGGAAGGCGGGGAUGACGUCAAAUCAGCACGGCCCUUACACCCAGGGCUACACACGUGUUACAAUGGCCGGUACAGAGGGCCGCUACCAGGUGACUGGAUGCCAAUCUCAAAAGCCGGUCGUAGUUCGGAUUGGAGUCUGUAACCCGACUCCAUGAAGUUGGAUUCGCUAGUAAUCGCGCAUCAGCCAUGGCGCGGUGAAUACGUUCCCGGGCCUUGUACACACCGCCCGUCAAGCCAUGGAAGCUGGGGGUGCCUGAAGUUCGUGACCGCAAGGAGCGACCUAGGGCAAAACCGGUAACUGGGGCUAAGUCGUAACAAGGUAGCCGUACCGGAAGGUGCGGCUG
rnacentral:rRNA from 1 species